rnacentral:rRNA from 1 species
AUAAGCGGAGGAAAAGAAGACAACAGGGAUUGCCCCAGUAACGGCGAGUGAAGCGGCAACAGCUCAAAUUUGAAAUCUGGCCCCCCGGCCCGAGUUGUAAUUUGGAGAGGAUGCUUUUGGCGCGGCGCCGUCCGAGUUCCUUGGAACAGGACGCCACAGAGGGUGAGAGCCCCGUACGGACGGACGCCUAGCCUCUACAAAGCUCCUUCGACGAGUCGAGUAGUUUGGGAAUGCUGCUCAAAAUGGGAGGUAAAUUUCUUCUAAAGCUAAAUACCGGCCAGAGACCGAUAGCGCACAAGUAGAGUGAUCGAAAGAUGAAAAGCACUUUGAAAAGAGGGUUAAAAAGUACGUGAAAUUGUUGAAAGGGAAGCGCCUGUGACCAGACUUGCGCCCCGCGGACCACCCGGCGUUCUCGCCGGUGCACUCCGCGGGGCGCAGGCCAGCAUCGGUUCUCCUAGGGGGACAAAGGCCGCGGGAACGUAGCUCCUUCGGGAGUGUUAUAGCCCGCGGCGGCAUGCCCCUGGGGGGACCGAGGACCGCGCUUCGGCAAGGAUGCUGGCGUAAUGGUCACCAGCGACCCGUCUUGAAACACGGACCAAGGAGUCAAGCAUUGGGGCGAGUGUAUGGGUGCCAAACCCGCACGCGAAAUGAAAGUAAACGCAGGUGAGAGCUUCGGCGCAUCAUCGACCGAUCCUGAUGUCUUCGGAUGGAUUUGAGUAAGAGCCUUACCGCUUGGACCCGAAAGAUGGUGAACUAUGCCUGAAUAGGGUGAAGCCAGAGGAAACUCUGGUGGAGGCUCGCAGCGGUUCUGACGUGCAAAUCGAUCGUCAAAUUUGGGCAUGGGGGCGAAAGACUAAUCUAACCAUCUAGUAGCUGGUUACCG